rnacentral:rRNA from 1 species
CUACGGGAUGCACCAGUGAGGAAUAUUGCACAAUGGGGGGAACCCUGAUGCAGCAACGCCGCGUGGAGGAUGACGCAUUUCGGUGUGUAAACUCCUUUUAUAUGUCAAGAAAAUGACGGUAGCAUAUGAAUAAGCACCGACUAACUCCGUGCCAGCAGCCGCGGUAAUACGGAGGGUGCAAGCGUUACUCGGAAUCACUGGGCGUAAAGGACGCGUAGGCGGGUUGGAAAGUCAGGUGUGAAAUCCUACAGCUUAACUGUAGAACUGCACUUGAAACUUCUAAUCUAGAGUAUGGGAGGGGGAGAUGGAAUUAGUGGUGUAGGGGGAAAAUCCGUAGAUAUCACUAGGAAUACCUAAAGCGAAGGCGAUCUCCUGGAACAUUACUGACGCUAAGGCGUGAAAGCGUGGGGAGCAAACAGGAUUAGAUACCCGAGUAGUC